GGCUGUUUCUGAUGUUGACAAUAUAAAACAGUACAACUGGUCCCAAUUCGUUGUAGAUGAGGUGAAGAAAGCAGCAGAAUCAAUGCCCACCUGCUUUCCGAAUAAGGCUCAACUAUCCAUUAACGGGUGUAUCAUCUUUCUAAUGGUAAAAUAUUUGAGAAAUCUCCAGUUCCGGAAGGUUGGGAUCACAUGUGUUAAAACAUGUCACAUUUCUCAGUUUGAGGAUGAUCAAAUUGCUAGGAUGAUUCAACAAGAUGUAGUUAGUAAACAUAACCCAGGAUUCCCCUUCCCUCGUUAUGGGAAACUCCAGUUGAUGAAGGAACCAAGAGAAAACAACCCCCAUGUGCCAGAGCUAUCUCCCCUAAACUUAUGCUCCGGUUCGAAGAUCCCAUCUAGAGCCAUUGAUGGCGGUAAAAAUUUAAUAAAAUUCCUGGAAUC